UGAAAAUUACGCCUAAUUUGUAAAUGUGUUAAAACAAAAGGACGCUUCCCAAUCUUUUCUUGGCUCUCCCUAAUGGAGCCCAGUACCCCAACCCGUAACUCAAGCCAAAAAAUGGGCCAGGCCUAAAAUCAGGCCCAACAAUUACUGAAUGACCAAUUUACAAUGCAUAAUCAUUUCAUAUACUGCAGGAAUAAUAAAAUUAAUUACAACCCCUAACACAUGAAUGUUUCAAAUUAUAUCACAGUUCUAAAUUUAUGAUCCAAAUUUGUUUACACUGCUGAACACUUCUAUGUACUGAAACUCUAUAUUUCUAAAAUUAAAUUGUGUAACAACACUUAGGAACUAAGCAAUUGUCUUAUGACUCCUCAUGCUUUUGAUUUCAGCUUGAAUUCCACACUUAAACUCCAUCCUUAUGGGUUAAAGGUGUCAAUAGUGAACAGGAUUUAUUCCUCAUCCUCAUGAGUUUACUAACUAUAGUAGUCAACCAGUAUCAUGGACUGUUCAAACAUGAGAAUAUUUCAAUUAUUAACCUGUUAACGGAGACAAAUUACUAACAGUAACAACUAGCUAUUGACAAAUAAGCUCAGCUUCAAAUAUUCAGCUCAAAAUAAAACCAAACACUAAUAAAGAAGAAAGUGAUCAGAUCAAGUGAAUCAAUGCAAAGAACACACGAAAUCAAGCACAGUUAUGGAAUCAAACAUUCAGUUCUAUCAUUUCUAUAUUCAAAGGGGAAUUACAACUGGAAUUUCGACAUACCUAGCAGCAAAACAAAACACCUGAAUAGUGACCAAAUAUAGGUCUGGUUGAAGAAAAUUCAGCUACAAUUGGCAACAACAAACAGCAAUAGAUGGCCAAAUAAAGGCUGAGGAGAGUAGCGAAGGAAUUCAGCUAUAACGCGACAUCCGAGCAACUUCAAUUAACAAAUGAAACCCCAGCUUGAUCAACCCAGAAAAUAAGAGAUGAAACUCUCUGAAUCAACUAAAGAGAGCCAACUUUUGAAUUGUUUAGAACAACCUAAAACUCUGCAAUCCCUUUUUUUUGAUGUUUUUUUAGAUCUAGCUUUGAAUUUCAGAGUGUUUUCUGCCUAUGAGAAAGAGCAAAGAUGGCAAGAAAAAGUGAGAGACGUGUGAAUUCUCUGGAAAAUAUGCAGAAUCAAAAAGUGUCCUCAAAUAUGUAGGGUGGAGUUUUUUUUAUAUCAAAAUGAGAGAAUCAAUUGAAACAUGUGUCAUCCCUAAAAAAUAGGGAAAAGGCAUCUUUCUACAACAGAUUUGAACAGCUGCCCUUUUCAGAUAUUCUUUCCUUAAUUUUCAACCCUUUUUACUUCUGUAUUUACCCCUUUUAGCCCCCAAUUUGACCUAAUUUCCUUUGUCUUAUUGUAUUUUAGUCCCUACAUACUCUCUUCUAGAAGAUUCAAGCUAUUAAUCAGAAAAGAUUACUUAAUUUUUCUAUUAACUCCCUCAAAUCCAUGUUAACACCCUUCUUUUAACCUUUUCUUUUAACUCACUCAUUUUACUAUCCUCUACCAAAAAUUACUGUCCUCUUUCUCUUAUCAGAACCAAACGUUUAAUACAUAGCAACGAACUAAACUGAAUUAUCAGUAAGCUAACAAACUUAAGCUAAACAUGACUCAACAACUGAUUAAACAAGUUGAUUAAGUAGAUAUGCAAUUCAAAACAACAAAUAAUUAUCAAUUGACCAAGUUCAGGUUCAAUUCAACAAAUAAUCACUCAGAAAGUUAAAACAAUUUACUAACAAUUAACUAUUAACCUAAGCAUGUCAAAAAAUUAAGACUUAACUAUCGAUUAACAAUUAAAUAGCGGAUCAUCAAUUCUGUGAUUUAUCUAGGUGCGAUCUAAGAAUAAAAAGAAAAAGAAAAAGAAAUAUACCUAUUGGGCUAUCACUUUCAGCAAGAGGUAUAGAGAGAAACUGGACGGGCCCUAAUUGAAAUAACAAAAGCGACUUCGACAAGAACCGUCCGAUUGAUUAGAUUUUGAACGAGCCUUGGUGACUUCGAAAUGAGCUGAAAUUAACAUAAAUUGAUUUCUCUGGUCAAGAGCAAUCGAUUCAUGUGAGUUUGAGCCAAAACGAAUCAGCAAUUGUUGACGAAAUCAGAAAGAGGACGAACUUACGGUUCUCUGGAAUCUCAGAUCUAAAAAUCGUUGAGUUUGAUGAGUUUUUCGGGGAAAAUAAUGAUGGAUUAGGGAUGAAGAUGGAUUAGGGAUGAAGAGGGAUUAGGGAUUGUUUGGCGUUAAUUUGGGGAGCUUUGGUGGUGAUUCGCGGCCGCGGGCGAUUUCCGGCAGCGGUCUAAGGCUAAGGGUGAUAGAGUGAAAGAGAUGAGGAAGUCUCUAGGGUUUUGGGUCUUGUUUCGGACAGUUAAAAUAGAGAAGUUUUAUUGUGUGUUUCCCAUGUGUAUCACAAAUUUAUGAAUCUUAAUCUUAUAUUUUUGGGUCCAUAAAAAAUGUGAGUAUACAAAAUUAUAAAACAAAAAAAAU
rnacentral:lncRNA from 1 species